GCUGAGAUGACUUCGAACCUCUGAACUUCCUCCUUCCACAUCUGGAGUACUGGGAUGACAGCAGUUUGACCAGGCCAGGUCAAACACAGGGCUACUGAUUUGUGAGAGACUCCAGACACCACCAGCACUUUAGAGUUAAGGAGCUGGAACUCAGCUCUCCCAAGGUCGCAACAUUGAAUAUAACUCGUUUAACAAAACUGUCACUAAGGCUGACCUCAUCCUGGCCUCAGGCAUCUGCAUGGAAGAGGCAGAAGUUGCAGCCUUCAAUGAGAAAGAACAGAAAAAGUUGCAUUACCCAAACAUGAUUAAAGGCACCAGAGAGUUGAUGGUGUCUGUAAAUAUAACAUGAGUCGCUAUUGCUCUCUACUGCCUCCACCAAAGAGAUCCUGGGAAUUAAUAAGGCAAAUGAUCCAUCAAGAAGGGCUAUAGAUAUCACUGUAACAAAGGAGAGGAUGAGAGGCCUUUGAUUUCGCCUCUUCACCUUCCAUGCCUGGUUUUCUGCUUUGUGUUCCACCUAGUCCUGUCCACUAACUCCCACUCCACAGCUUUUUAUCUUCUCUGCAAAAUGUCCAGAGCCUUCUCAGUUAAAAGCCUGAGCCCAAGUAAAUGUUUUCUUGGCUCUCUUCCUGGUACAACUAGAUGUUCGAGAUUUGUUUACCAACCUGCUCACCUUGGAAAACAAUAGCCCACCCACACAAGAAACAAUGUUUGAUAUUUAUGAAUAUAAUAUUUCCUUGGUCUU